rnacentral:lncRNA from 1 species
CCAUCAAUUCCGCAAUGCACUGAUUCACUUCCGUGAGCCGCUCCUUCAGCUCAUCUCUCUCGACGCGGGCAUCCAACAACAGCUCUUGCACAGUUUUCCCGGGGGCACCGGAGGACGGUCAAUGGGCACCAUCAGCCUCCCAUUCACCUCCUCCGCAUCCUGAGCGCGGCCCGACAAAAGAAGCUCGUGGUAGACGACCUCCUGGACAUCUUCAUAUGAUCGCUCCUCCUCUAGCACCUCGAUAAUUCUGAGAGUAAUGGCGUCUGUCGGAAGACGCCGGAGACGAGAUAUCAGGUCAUGCCAACGCCUCCACUCCAGCUCCCUGCCAUAAUGUACACUAGAGCUCACACCAGAACUUCCUGAAGAAAUUUUUCUGCAAAAACACACAACAACAGUCAGUAGAGCACGAUCAAGGCAGGAGACACAACAAAAAUAGAGGAAAACUUGCCAGUAUUUAUUCCGAUUACGCGACGACGACUCACCAAAAAAUAAGAGUGCAAAAGUAAGAGAUCAACAACUGAUGUUCUCGUGCACAAGCCUCCACUAUUAUAGGCCAAGUCCAAUUGCUUGGAAUUCAGCCGUUGAUAUUUCCCUAGGCAGUCAACUGUCAAAAUCACGCCAUCGACGCCUGAUAGGCAAUCGUGGGGAAUAUAUUUACAUAUUUUUUCAAAAUUACUCUAGUAUUGGCCUUGUCCAAUACGACGAGGCAUAUUUACAUAUUUUUUCAUAUUGUUCGCGUUCCCCGUACUUGGCAGCAUAUUUGUAUUUUUUAAGUCGCAUUCAACUCCACUCAAUUCUAGUCAUGACAUUUGCGGGUUAUUACCUACUCCUCCCAUCCGCUAAAGCAAAAUGGAAGGAGUAUGAGGGAAAUGAUAUGGUACCCCCGCUACAGUACUCGCUACAGUGACUGCCCCCAGCACCGUGUCCGCUACGGUACGCGAACAACACAAAACGGCCCUCAUCAUAACAAAGUACAAGACAAACAGGAUAAAAGGUAAGCACGAAUCUCAAAAUGAUCUCAAAAGGACACACAAAAGGUCAGUUGGUACAUGAAAUCAAACAAACCAUGCUGGGAGGUAGGUAUGGGUUCGCAGUCGCUACUGUAGCGGACAAAGCCCUAUAUAAAAGCCUCCCAGUUCACAUUUUUUAAGUAAGUGAAUUCUAACUCUCAAAAACUAUACACACCUCUAGUUCACUCUCUCUCACAUCUAGAGCUUUGAGCUCUCUGAUACCCAUACUUAUCAAACAUUUCGAUCACUGAUUAUCACGCUGGAGACGCUUUAUGGGACACACCCCCGUACGACGUUGUUGGACCCACCCGACGAGGAAAGGACCUCGGCUUCCCGGAAGAGUGUGUUGGACCCACCCGACGAGGAAAGGAGUUAUCACAUAUCAAUCAGUUUGGUGUUUAUGGCCAUGAUGUUUUUUUACAGGAGAUUUAUAUAUGAGAAAUAUGUUACGGAAAUUGAUGCAACACAAAUUUCCGACGUGCAAACAUUCAACUAUUGUUAAACAAACUACAAAUUAUAACAAAGGAACUAAAAUCAGCUACAUUCCUCCACUAGCUAAAGGGUAAGAAUAAGAACUUGUGGACAGUGCAAUAAGUAUCCAUAAUGCAGGAAUCAUCAUGCAAAGAAUCUAAUCCAGAUAAGGAAAGAAUCACCGGUCAGCCUCGCUCUUCUGAGAUCGAACUAAUAUAACUUACGUUAAAGGAAAGAGUUACAUGAGCAGCAGCAUCAAGGAGAAGUUUUGCCCAUUGAAGGAGGUACUUUUGUAGCGAAGUUUCUAAAAAAUUAUCAAGCAAUGGCUCAACUACCCCAAUCUUGUACUGCCAAGCCUGAUUUUGUCCCUCUACAUUGUACCGACCCCAGCAGUGAUGUUAGGCAACUCAAGGCAAGUAUCAAUGAAAUUUAAGAUUGAAAUUCACCACUCUCUAUACAGCAUAUAUAAUUAAAACAUGCUGUGCUGAUUUUUUUCUUGUAGAAUGGUUCUAAUUUUGUGAGUGCAUCGGCUCUUAAGUUCGAAGGCAACUGGAAAGAAAAGUAAGUGUGAGGAAGUAUUUAGAGUUUACCAGUGAUACUAUCAAAAUAAAUCAAAUAUACUCAUACUUCAAUAAUUUUGACUGCAGUACCACUUAUGCCGAGUUACUAGAUAGCUGCACGUUCAAAGUUAGCGGAGAUUGCCGGCUUCAAGGACAUAAUUACAUGGCACAGUUCGUGAUCGGGCUGACACAUCAUCAUACUAUUGGAAGAGUGAAAAUUGAAACCAGCUCUCCAAAGCAAGAGUCUGAAGAAGACUUGAGUAAUCAGACAUCUGAGCUUGUGAAACCACUUUUGAUCGGCCUUUGUGGUGAUGACCAUGUCGAAUAUUCCCUCACUAGUGUUGAACCCCACCGGAAGAUGCAGAAAGGCCUAAUUGUCUAUGGUGUUUCGUUUACCCUUGUGGGAAUGUAAUCAUCUAUAUGUGUAGCCAUGCAUGAGUUUGUCAAGCUCAUCAUGUCAUAAAUGCAUGUAAUGGAAUAAGACUAACAGCCUGCACUAGCUUGGGUUGUGCACUAUAUUGUGGGAAAUUGAAUUUGAAUCCACCUUAUUAGUUAAAGACUCCUCUCUUCGGCCUAAUUGUGGAAGAGGGGAUGAUUCAAAUCCAUUGAAGAUAACAUCACUCACCUCUAUAAUUGUUUAUACUACUGUUUUCUUGUAAAUAGUCUAAUAUGCAUAAAUAAAAAGAAAAAAGGCAUUGCACUGUGCUGGCAAGUCCACAAUAAUCAUCCACAUGCAAUUAAUGAGGACAAAUUGGUUAUAAAGAGUUCCAGGUUCAACUUUAAACGAAGAAGAAUAGAUCACAAGUAUAGCUGAAACAGCUAAAUUACGGAAAGAAUACAUCACAAGUACAUAAGGAACAACAACCAAACCAAGCAGAGGAUUAGAGGAGAACCUUGUCGACUUGGUUCAGAAGAUUCCGUUAUGCCG